AUAUAUAUAAUUAGAAUCGAAUAGUAGGUACCUAAGGGGCAAAUUUUACAUUCGUUCCAAAUCUGAAUGAAUUUUAAUUUCCAAUUCUAAAAAUACACAAAGAUAUGUUAACUUUUUCUUGAUAUAAAUUAUUUUAUAAUUAUAAUGAUAAAUAUGAUAUUUUGAUAAUGAUAAGUUUAUUAUUUUGAUAAAAGAAGGG
rnacentral:lncRNA from 1 species